GACUCUCGGCAACAAAUAUCUCGGCUCUUGGAUCAAUGAAGAACGUAGCGAAAUGCGAUACUUGUGAGCACAUGAUUUUUGUUUUACGCGACAAUCACUCCAAAAGAAAUA
rnacentral:rRNA from 1 species